rnacentral:rRNA from 1 species
AUACAGAGGGUGCGAGCGUUAAUCGGAAUUACUGGGCGUAAAGCGCGCGUAGGCGGCUUGGUCAGUCGGAUGUGGAAGCCCUGGGCUCAACCUGGGAAUUGCAUUCGAUACUGCCAAGCUAGAGUAUGGGAGAGGGAAGUGGAAUUUCCGGUGUAGCGGUGAAAUGCGUAGAUAUCGGAAAGAACACCAGUGGCGAAGGCGACUUCCUGGCCCAAUACUGACGCUGAGGUGCGAAAGCGUGGGGAGCGAACAGGAUUAGAAACCCUUGUAGUCC